AUGAACGCUGGCGGCGUGCCUAAUCCAUGCAAGUCGAGCGAACGGACGAGAAGCUUGCUUUUCUGAUGUUAGCGGCGGACGGGUGAGUAACACGUGGAUAACCUACCCAUAAGACUGGGAUAACUUCGGGAAACCGGAGCUAAUACCGGAUAAUAUUUUGAACCGCAUGGUUCAAAAGUGAAAGACGGUCUUGCUGUCACUUAUAGAUGGAUCCGCGCUGCAUUAGCUAGUUGGUAAGGUAACGGCUUACCAAGGCAACGAUGCAUAGCCGACCUGAGAGGGUGAUCGGCCACACUGGAACUGAGACACGGUCCAGACUCCUACGGGAGGCAGCAGUAGGGAAUCUUCCGCAAUGGGCGAAAGCCUGACGGAGCAACGCCGCGUGAGUGAUGAAGGUCUUCGGAUCGUAAAACUCUGUUAUUAGGGAAGAACAUAUGUGUAAGUAACUGUGCACAUCUUGACGGUACCUAAUCAGAAAGCCACGGCUAACUACGUG
rnacentral:rRNA from 1 species